GACGAACGCUGGCGGCGUGCUUAACACAUGCAAGUCGAACGGAAACGCCCUGCGUUUUUGGGGUGCUCGAUUGGCGAACGGGUGAGUAACACGUAAGUAACCUGCCCUUCACUUUGGUAUAACUUCAGGAAACUGGAGCUAAUACCGUAUAGGAGCUCCUGCUGCAGGGUGGGGGUGGGAAAGUUUCGCCGGUUGGGGAUGGACUCGCGGCUGAUGGGCUUGUUGGUGGGGUGGUGGCUUACCAAGGCUUUGACGGGUAGCCGGCCUGGGAGGGUGACCGGCCACAGAGGCCUUGGGGUGGGGCCCAGGGUGCAACGGGGGGGAGGGGCGGGGACCUUAUCCAACUGGGCGGAGGCGGGAGGGAGCACCGCCGGGUGGGGAAUGCCGGCUUUUGGGUUGUAAAAGCAUUUGGCUUGUGCCGAGGCGUUAUGACGGUAACUGGAUAAUGAGCACCGGGUAACUUCGUG
rnacentral:rRNA from 1 species